rnacentral:piRNA from 1 species
UCCAAGUCUCAUCAUGACAGCGUGCUGACAGC